GCACUUGGAGCACCUUCUGUUCUAUGGGGCAGAUACCACUUCUCAGAAUGCCUCAGGGAACACCGCACUUCAUAUUUGUGCCCUGUAUAAUAAGGAAAGCUGUGUUCGUGUUCUGCUCUACAGAGGGGCCAAUAAGGAAAUUAAGAACAAGCAUGGACAAACCCCCUUUCAGGUAGCAGUAAUGUCGGGCCAUUUUGAACUUGGGGAAAUCCUCAAAAACCACAGAGAUGCAGAUGUAG